GUCUGACUUGGAUUUCUUCCCAGUAACCUGAUCUAGGUGAAUCAGCAGGUUAUAAAUGAAAGUCAGUUUCUAAGAUCUCCUGACUUUCUUCAACUAUCAGGAACUUUAUAGGAACCUGGUGAGAAACAGGAAAAGACCAAGAGAUAAUAAAUAACAUUGACCAAUAUUAUGGUAUUGCAAUUUCUCUUUCCUAAUACAAUGUAAAAUGUAGUGCCAUUUUUGGACAAGCUAAUUAUUUGUAUAGAUUCCUGAGUUUGUUAUUUUUGUUAGCCUGAAUAAAUAUCUAAAUGAUUGGAAAAUGUUUAAGAGCUGAAAGCCUUUUCUAGGUCACAAAGUAUAACAUUAGAUAGUGGUUCUUCCAAGGGCAGGUUCUAAUACUUUCAUAUGUUUCUAUCACUCAUUAUAUGAAAAUUCCUCAUUUUAAACCCUCACUUUAAAUCACAGGAAGGAAGACAAGUUAGAAAAGGAGAACAAAGGAAACAAAAUGUAUUGGAAGACUUGUCACAUUCAAAGUAUUGACAUUCAUUGCCUAGCUUCAUUCUCACGGCAACUUUUGGACGAAUUAAACUUCUGCUCAAAGACAGUCACAAUAGCUAUAAUAAAAUUAGUGUUUGAUUCUAGCUUUGUCUAAUUGCAAAGCCUGAACUGGAGGUAAAUGUCUGGUGUAAGCAAACUUCCACUGCCCCUUAAACCAUACCUCACUGAUAAUUGUCUCUUGUCCUACCCAUAGCCUGGUUCUGCACCACUUUCUGCACCAAUUUAUGUCGUAUUUCUAAAGGUUAUUUUUCCCUUCUUUAUUACUAUUUUCAGUUAAAAGAUUUCUCAGUUAGCAUGGCUUAGUAAAUCAAGAACUUACAUCUGUACAAUCUCAGAGAAACCCAAGGGCAUCACAAGCACCACUAGUGACAUGUUUCCUUCAUUGUAAAUGGGCAAUAGCACUUGCUGUUUUUGAAUGCCAUGAACACAUUGGGAAUAUUCAGCUACUUUGUGGGUCAAUAUAGAAAAAUUAUAUUAAAUAUGAAGAAACGGUCCCAAUUUUCUCAUCAUAUUGAAAUGCCAAUAAUUAUAAUAGCUCACAGAUAUGUUAUGAGGAUUGACAAAGUACCACAUGGAAAGCGCAAAAGGCAGCUCACAGCUUAGGAAAAGUGUUAAGUCAAUACUAGCUUUUAUUAAUGAUGUUUUUAUACUUAUGAGUAAGAUUAUUGGGUUCCUAUUCUCUAAGAGUUCACUAGCUCCAGAACCACACAGUAAAAUGCUUCCUCUCUUUAUGUCCCUUCCAAUGUCAAUUUCACUGCUUCUGUUCUAUAUUCCAGAAGUGUGAUUGGUGAUUAAUGAAGUAAAUAUAAGAAUAAGCUCUAGAUGAUAAGAAACUGGUUAUAUUUGCAAAUACAGCCCUCAGUAACCUGUAUACUUAUAAAUAACCUGAGAUUUCUGCCCCCAUAUGUACCAAAACAGUAACUGAAAUAUAGUUUCUACACACUCACCUCCCAACCCUUUCUUAUCCUGUAAAAUAACUAAACAGGAGACUGUAUGAUCAUAGCUGAAUAAUAAGGCUCUGCCUGUAUCGGUUACCUUUUUCUGAAGGUCCUAAGGUCCUAAUGUGUUUCAGGAAUGUCUACCUUUGACCUUGCUAGUCCAUACUCUGAAACGUCUAAUUUUAUUUUUAUGCUUUUUGUGUACUAGGGUGAGGGCAGGCAGGUAAAGGUUAGGUUGUGUGAUAUUCAGAGGCUGGAAACUGAAACCCCCUGUUUCUCACAGCACAGAUGUGGUGCAGACAGCCCGGGCCUCUACAUUUCCUCGCUGUGCCCUAAAAAUGACCUUAACCCUGACAUAGAAAGAGAAGCAACAUCACUGUGAAAGGCUGUUGCUGGCUGGCUGUGUGAGAGGGAGCAGUUUUCUGAGUGUGGGGCUGUGUCCCAUUGGCCUCUCCUGUGUCAUAACACUUCCAGUCUCUCCAAGUUGACCUGGAUCCUCUGAAGCCAAAGAAAGGUCAAAGUUAAUUCUUUGUGCCCAUCAAACUCAUUUUAUGAGUUGUUUUUUUCCAUGAACCAGUGGGAAAAUGAUUCAAAUCAAUACUUUCUCUUCAAUCUUAAAAUAUAUUGGAAAUAAUUGUUUUCUUUUGGGGUACUUUUCCCAAACAACCUCUGCCUUUCUACCUUUUGCUUUAUUCUAAUAAAUAAAUAAAAAUAUAUGCAUAUAUAUGUAUACAUGUUCAUAUAUACAAAAUAAUCAAACCAAAACAACAAUCACCUCGACAAACUGUGUUUCCUUUGAAUUGCUUAUUUUUAUAUAUUUCAUAUCUUAACAAUUGUAAAUCUAAAUGAUAAUAAAAAAUAUAUUUUUAGCUUCUUUAAAGAUUUCAAAUUCUUGUUUUUCUUCUCCAUUUAAGACAGAUGUUUAUUUUUAUAUGAUGUCUAGGUUUUAUAAAGUCCAGGUAAGAGGAUGCUUUCAUUUUUUCUUUCUAUAUUUCUCAUGAUAGAAUAAUGGAAAGUGAUCAAACCGGGAAAUGGAAGAGUUUAAGCAAACGGAAUUUUUUUACCAAAUUAUUAAAACAACAUGGACAGGUUUUCUUUUUUAAAAAAAAAUGACUGACAAAGUUAGUUUUGUAAAGUAUUUCUUGCAACUAUUUAAUUAAACUCAAGUCUCAUGUAGUAUAAUUCAAUUCUUAUGUAGUGUAGCCUCUUCUUUGCAAGAAAGCAUCAUUUUAGGGUAAGAGCCAUUUCUCAGAUGUUCACCUUACUUUCUGUAGUAAGGCUUCAACAUGCUUGUGACUGCCUAUAACCCUAUCUUCAUCUUUCAAGGCCUGUGGAUACUGAAAACAAAACAAUGAAAGAACAAGACCUCUGAUAGAUUUCAUGGGCUUCUUGGAGGACCAACGUCAGUCAAUGGAAGUGUGAUGACUUAUCAGAGGCUUCCUUGGUUGCAGUACAGAAGAUGCAAUGCCAGCAGUGCUUUUUCAGGAGCUCCCUCUGAAGAAGAUCAUGGCUCAGUUACCAUGGACACCAAGAAGCUAUGCAGCUUUUUAUUCUUUUUACUUCCUUCAUUAUGUGCCCUCCCAGGAAAUAUAUUUUCAUUAGUAACUAGGUUUUGAAACUUUUGCCAAGACACCAGCCUAACCUAUUGCUCUCUAAACAAAUACCUUCAGUAUCUAAUACAUAGGUAUAUGCCAGUCUGAGCCAACUGUGCUAUUAGGAAACUAAUAAAUACUCCUUUGCUUCCUAUUUAAUGAGAAAAAGCACGACAAUAUUGCUCAUGCCAGAUCAGGUUUUGAUUGGUAUGUGCUUAUCCUUCAUAAACAAAUGUAUUUUAUAUGAAAAACCACAGGGGAAAUAUUUUUAUUUAUUUUAUUAGUUGUACAAAAGCCAUGUUGGCAACUGAAGAACCAAUAAAAUAAAAUUGUCUCAUGUGGUUCUUAUUAUGGAAUCAAAUAGUAAUGUAAAAGGCAAGCACACACCAAUCAUAAUUCCAUCUGGCUGAAAGAACAGGAAAAUGUGGCUCCAUUUUCAUUAGGAAAAGGAGGCAUAUAUUUCAUAAUGUGUUCAAAUGUGGCUCUAAAGGUACUCCCAGUACACUACUGCAUUUUGUACCACUCAUGGGGUGCCAUAUCUACUGAUGCAGGUUAAUGUAAUCAAAGUGACUUGAAAGGAGAGGACUGCUGUUAGCCUUGCAUCUGCAUUAAUAGAGCACCAACAGAAGCUAGAGCAACAUUUCUUGGCAUUCUGGAAAGAAAUGCAUGUUGAACCAGUAAGCAAUAUGUAUAGCCCUUGCAAUAUACACUUGGCAUAUUUGCAGCAAGUAAGUUGCCAUUCAUGUAACCACCAAAAAUACAUUCCAGAAUGUUUACUCUUUUCAGUAAGCAGAUAAUACCAUUCAAGCUCUGGACUUAAAAGAUUGCAUGCAUAAAUAUUUUCUAAAUUCCUUUAGUGCUGUUUUUGGUUUAUCUUCAAGGAAAUAUAAGGGUAGCUAUUAUCAAUAGAAGGUAGGUAUUCAUUUGUAAGAGGUUGGGUCAGCAAGACACUGCUCUAUUGAAUCAUAUCUGGGACAACAUGGAGUGGUCAUUUGGGCCUCUGGGAAGUGUGGCAUGGAAGAGUAGUUCUUUAUUAAGAACAAGAAAGUAGCUAGCCCUGAGAAUAAAGGUUGAUUUGCUUUGCUGAAA